ACGGGAGGCAGCAGUGGGGAAUAUUGCACAAUGGAGGAAACUCUGAUGCAGCAACGCCGCGUGAAGGAUGAGGGCCUUUGGGUCGUAAACUUCUGUCCUUGAGGAAGAUAAUGACGGUACUCUUGGAGGAAGCCCCGGCUAACUACGUGCCAGCAGCCGCGGUAAUACGUAGGGGGCAAGCGUUAUCCGGAAUUAUUGGGCGUAAAGGGUGCGUAGGCGGUUUUUUAAGCGCGGGGUGAAAGGCAAUGGCUUAACCAUUGUUAGCCCUGCGAACUGGGAGACUUGAGUGCUGGAGAGGAAAGCGGAAUUCCUAGUGUAGCGGUGAAAUGCGUAGAUAUUAGGAGGAACACCAGUGGCGAAGGCGGCUUUCUGGACAGUAACUGACGCUGAGGCACGAAAGUGUGGGGAGCAAACAGGAUUAGAUACCCUGGUA
rnacentral:rRNA from 1 species